AUGCCGCCGGACUUGGUGGACUGGCUGUACAUGGGGCUGGAGCUGCUGAUCGCCGCCCUGUCCAUCGCCGGCAACGUGCUGGUGUGCUGGGCCGUGGCCACCAACAGCACGCUGAAGAACGCCACCAACUACUUCCUCGUGUCCCUGGCGGUGGCCGACAUCGCCGUGGGGCUGCUGGCCAUCCCCUUCGCCGUGGUCAUCAGCGUCGGCCUCCGCACCGACUUCCGCAGCUGCCUCUUCCUCGCCUGCUUCGUGCUGGUGCUCACCCAGAGCUCCAUCUUCAGCAUGCUGGCCGUGGCCGUCGACAGGUACCUGGCCAUCAGGUUCCCGCUCAGGUACAAGGGUUUGGUGACUGGGAGGAGAGCAAGGAGCGUCAUAGCUCUGCUUUGGAUUCUCUCCUUUGGCAUUGGCUUGACUCCACUCAUGGGGUGGCACAAAAGCUUCGGAAAUGCUACCCAAAACUGCUCCAAUACUACAGGGCAGCUGAGGGAUUCUACCUGCGACACGGAGGUUGAAUGUCUCUUUGAGAAUGUUGUCACCAUGAGCUACAUGGUCUAUUUCAACUUCUUCGGGUGCGUUUUACCGCCGCUCAUCAUCAUGCUGGGAAUCUACAUCAAGAUAUUCAUGGUGGCCUGCAAGCAGUUUCGGCGCAUAGAGCUGAUGGACAAUUCACGGACCAUCCUCCAAAGGGAGGUCAAUGCAGCCAAGUCCCUGGCUAUCAUUGUGGGGAUUUUCGCCAUGUGUUGGCUGCCCCUCCACACCAUGAACUGUAUCACUUUCUUCCACUCUAAAAUUCAGCAGAAAUGGGUCUUCUAUGUGCCUAUCAUCUUGUCCCACGCCAACUCAGUCAUCAACCCCAUUAUCUAUGCUUACCGGAUCAGAGACUUUCGCUGCACCUUCCGUAAAAUCAUUUCCAAGUACAUCCUCUGUAGGAAGGAUGACUUUCCCAAGUGCAGCAAUGAACACUCCAGGAAGUCCCACAUCAGCAAUGUGGACAACUGCCAUGCCUGCGUGUAACCGUCCCAUCCCUCCACCACAAGGACACAGGUGACAUCACCAUCACUCCCAGAUGAGCCUGAGAGAGGACAGCUUCCAUCUCAAUGCCUCAGCAGAUGGAAUUACUGGGCACAUCUGCAUGCUUUAAGUGAGGCUGAAGGUUGAAGAGGGAAAUCUACCACUGUGGUAUUAACUUCUGUUGUGGGGUGAAUUUUGAUGCCCUUAAGUUUGUUCAGAAGUUAACUUGGCAUACAUUGUACAAGUACUCAGCAAUGACUUGCAGGUAGUGCCUUAUGUUCUUCACCAAUUAUCUGGUGCAGUGUGUAUUCUCAAAUGGGAGAGACUUUGGGGCCAGUGUUACUGUGCAACCACAAUGGUUUCAGCCCAGAGUUCUUGGCCUAUGUUAAAAAAAAAUUGUGAAACUUGGAUCCUGACAGAUGUGAACUUGCUCCAGGAAGGAAGUCUGGUUUGGAGGAAAUGGGAGCUAACUGUAAGAGUCCGUGUGUGAUUGACGCCUAUGAUGAUAUAAAACCUGUUUACAAAUGGAGCUGAGGGAAAGGUCAAAGAAAGCAGGGUUUGCUCCCAGUUCACAAUAUGGUUACCUUACCUUGAAUAAACUUCAAGGUCUUGCCUAACCCAGAAAAACAGGUAAGGUGGGAGGAGAGGGUGUGAGGAUGAGAGCAGCAGCUGCCUUAGAAACAAGCAUAAACAGAGCACGAUUCAUCUGUAAAUACAUUGAACCACUAACAUAACUAGACAAAGGCAAUUCAUUUUCAUUAAUAUAACAUAAGACUGUCACUAAGUUUCAAUUCUCCCAUUGACAGCAGUGAAUAAUGGAUGUGAAUCCUUCACCACCUUCUGCUGACAUGCUUGCUGGGCCUGCACUGGGGAUUAGCCCAUGAUGAGCUAUGUGUGUUGUUGUUUCACUGUGUCUAAAUCUGUUCCUCCUAACCCCACUACUCUUGUAAAGAUCAUCUUGGGGAUCCACCCGAAGUACUCUUUCAAGCUGAGGCACUGAAACCUAAGGAGACAAGACUCGAGUGACAGAACGCUGAUCGACUAAAUCCAAAGCCUGGACAGCGGAUGAGCCGAACACAAACUUCAGCCUAGGAAACAGAAAGUCUCCAGAUUAGGUCAUGUGGCCUGCAAUCCAUCUCAGUGACCUGAGGUUAAUGUUCUUAAAUUUAAAAAAGCACUAAAUGAGAAUAUAACGAUCAAAAGCAGAAAAGGAGUUCCAACUAUUCCCCCAGCAACGGUGAAAGUUUUUGUACUGGCACCUUGCCCUUCAAUUCCUCCUUUUCUCUUUCCUUCCUGCAAAUUAUUUCCUAUAAUCAGUAAGUAAAAGCUUUUCCCUGGAAACACAAGGUUUCAAAUCCAUAGAAACAAUAAAGCACCCAUGUCCUUAGGACUAU